UGCGUAGGCGGGUUAAUAAGUCAGUGGUGAAAUCCUACAGCUUAACUGUAGAACUGCCAUUGAUACUGUUAGUCUUGAGUAUAGUUGAGGUGGGCGGAAUGUGUCAUGUAGCGGUGAAAUGCAUAGAUAUGACACAGAACACCGAUUGCGUAGGCAGCUCACUAAACUAUCACUGACGCUGAUGCACGAAAGCGUGGGUAGCGAACAGGAUUAGAUACCCUGGUAGUCC
rnacentral:rRNA from 1 species